GCCGGGGUGGCGGAACAGGUAGACGCAGUGGACUCAAAAUCCACCGGUGGUUGCCAUCGUGCGGGUUCGAGUCCCGCCCCCGGCA
rnacentral:tRNA from 1 species